UCGGACGUGGUGCACGGUGCACGCCUGCCUCAUCUGCCACAGGUUUGAAGUAUCGGCAGGAAGUCCGGGUUCGACUCCUGGCGUCCGAA